rnacentral:rRNA from 1 species
GACAGAGGGGGCAAGCGUUGCUCGGAAUCACUGGGCGUAAAGGGCGCGUAGGCGGGAUGGCAAGUCAGUCGUGAAAUCUCUCGGCUCAACCGAGAAACGUCGGCUGAUACUGCCGUUCUUGAGGGAUGCAGAGGAGACUGGAAUUCCCGGUGUAGCGGUGAAAUGUGUAGAGAUCGGGAGGAACACCGGUGGCGAAGGCGGGAUCCUGGGCCAGUACUGACGCUGAGGAGCGAAAGCGUGGGGAGCAAACAGG